UGGGGAAUAUUGCACAAUGGGGGAAACCCUGAUGCAGCGACGCCGCGUGAGUGAAGAAGUAUUUCGGUAUGUAAAGCUCUAUCAGCAGGGAAGAUAAUGACGGUACCUGACUAAGAAGCCCCGGCUAACUACGUGCCAGCAGCCGCGGUAAUACGUAGGGGGCAAGCGUUAUCCGGAUUUACUGGGUGUAAAGGGUGCGUAGGUGGCAAGGCAAGUCAGAUGUGAAAGCCCGGGGCUCAACCCCGGUAUUGCAUUGGAAACUGUCGUACUAGAGUGUCGGAGGGGUAAGUGGAAUUCCUAGUGUAGCGGUGAAAUGCGUAGAUAUUAGGAGGAACACCAGUGGCGAAGGCGGCUUACUGGACGAUAACUGACGCUGAGGCUCGAAGGCGUGGGGAGCAAACAGGAUUAGAUACCCUGGUAGU
rnacentral:rRNA from 1 species